CAUACGUUUAUUUCCAUGCACCAGUUUCAGGUGUGGUUCUAGCAACUAUCUGUUCAAUCAACAAUUGAUGAAUUGAAUAUUGAUGACAAAAUUGUUUUGUAAACUUAGUUACCAGAUCUGAAUAGAUAUCAGUGUGGAGAUCGCUGGAGAGUCCCGUGUUGCUCUGUCUUUUGUCAUGUUUUCUCUGACACCCUUCUCAUCUAUAAAUACCCAAUCUGGAAGAAUCUGCAAGAAAGGAAGAAGUUACUCAUCAGGAGUUUAUAGAUCCAAAAGUUUGCCUCAGGAUGAUCAGAAUAGUCCAGCUGUUGUGUCUUUCUGGCCUUCUUCUACUGUGUGAAGGUCAGGGUCUCCAGACAUGCCUCACUCACCCCACGUACAGACCCGCAGAAAACGCCGACAUAACAGUGGUGUGUGGAACCAGUCAAAUGUUUUUAAAAGUUUUCAUUUGUCCAAU